rnacentral:piRNA from 1 species
AGGGAAGCCUGGAUGUUGAGAACCCAGAG